rnacentral:lncRNA from 1 species
UGGAUCCAGCAAUAUAACCCCCACAUGAACCAAAUGACUUUGUGAAAGUUCCCAUCAUAAUGUCCACAUCAGCCGUGUCAACUCCCAAGAGCUCACAGACCCCCCUUCCUGUUUUUCCAACAGCUCCAAUGCUGUGAGCCUCAUCCAAAUAUACAUAUGCCUGCAAUGAGAAAAAUACAUCACAAACAAAGUCAUGAGAAAAUUAAACCAAGUGGAAACAUAUGCCUGCAAUGAGAAAAAUAUCACAAACAGAGUCAUGAGAAAAUUAAACCAAAU